rnacentral:lncRNA from 1 species
CCAGAAAGUAAGAAAGGAGGAGAAUUUUAGAAAAUGUAUUCCCAACCUAAACAGCCUGGCUGCAGGAGAAAGGAGAUAAUCUCUGGGGGAUGGCAUGUUGAGCUUGUGUUGCUUCGCUGCUCAUCUUUAGUCUGGUCAAUACAUCUUGUUACAUCCACCUGCUCUGUUCUAAGUCUUCUUCAGCAACAUGGUUCAUGCCAUCCAUGGGGUUGAGUAUCCUGGUCUCAGGAACCCAAAAUGCACUGAAGGAGCAAAACUGCAACCCACCCAAUAUAAUUCCUGUAAACUCAAUGUGCCAAGGUUUCCAACAAGCACCAUCUCUGGUAACCACAGUCAUUCCCAUGCCAGGCCUUACAGAAACUGGUCAGAAUGGUUUUGGAGAUCUGGACAGCCCCUGAUCUUUCUGAGGAAGGAAAAAGCAGCUCAGCUGAGCAUUCUGGGUGCUGAGCUGCAUCCUCUUUGGUCUCCUACAAACCCAAUCACUGCCUCCCCCAACCCUCAAGUCCCAUUUUGUGUCUCUUCUACUUCAAGAAUCGAAUCCCAUUUAGAAUGUGGCUGCUUUAACUCUAUCUUCAUUUACGAAAUGUAAUAUAUGUAUUUUAUAUCUGUGAAAAUCCCCUAUUACAGUAUUGGGAAUGUUCCUUUGAUAUACAUGAUUUCAAAAUAAAUGUUGUUAGGAG